UCUACGGGGACUGUCGGCGAAAAGCCGGAGGAAGGUGGGGAUGACGUCAAGUCCUCAUGGCCUUUAUGCCCCGGGCUACACACGUGCUACAAUGGGCGGUACAAAGGGCUGCCAACUCGCAAGAGUGAGCGAAUCCCAAAAAGCCGUUCUCAGUUCGGAUUGCAGUCUGCAACUCGACUGCAUGAAGUUGGAAUCGCUAGUAAUCGCGGAUCAGCAUGCCGCGGUGAAUACGUUCCCGGGCCUUGUACACACCGCCCGUCACAUCACGGAAGUGGGCUGUACUAGAAGUCGCUGGGCUAACCUCCUUCGGGAGGAGGCAAGCGCCGACGGUAUGGUUCAUAACUGGGGUGAAGUCGUAACAAGGUA
rnacentral:rRNA from 1 species